UUUGCUUCAUUGACUUAAAAUCCCCUUUAGGAGGCUGAGACAUUAUUAAAUCAGUAAAAAUAAGAAAAAUAAAGUCUUAAAGUAUUAAACUGCUGUUUCAAAUCACAUUGCAGGCAGGAUGUUUUGAGGAGCUGUAAUCAACAACAAUAAAGGUAGGAGGAGAGUGUGCAAAGCCCUUCUGUAUAUCAGGUAAUGACGUGCACUGCACGUACACAGCUAUAGCUCCUAUUUCAGGGUUUGAGAGUUAUAACAAAUCAACAAAAACUGCAAUGCUGUGCCAUUUCAAAACCAGUUCAAUCUUUCCCACAGUGAGAACACCUAAUAUAUAUAUAUUUAAAAGAGCCCUUUUAAAAAAAAAAAAAAAGAGGUGAAAAAACAUUGUUCUUUUUGUAGUGGCCCUAUUUUGCUGUCCAUCUGCCUGCAAUUCACCUACAUCACAAGCAGCGGUAAAACUGAAACGGUCCACAGAAUUUGCUACCCGUCAACAAUUUAACACCUUAAGGGAGUAUAAACCUACCAAAUAGAAAAAGAGAUACCCUCCUACUCCUUUAAAGCCACAAAGCAAUACAGUAAAUAUUCAUUCUCUACCAGAUAUAAACCUAGAAUUGCAGUCCCUACAAUUGAAGACUCCUCUGACAAUCAGUAGAAUCAACAAAAGGCUCAGAGAAUGCCAGGAGCAAGAAAGCUGGACAGCUUGCUCUAUGACCCGUCUUCUUCUGCCCGCCUGACACCAAACAGCAGAGAAGCUCUGUAUAGCAGAACAUCAUUAAUUGCAUCAUAUAUCCUGUAUAUUCAAUAAGUGCUAUAAGGUGGAUGGACAUGUCACAGUAUGGGAGGGGCUGGAGGGGAUUCUGCUUUCAAGUAGUAAACUACAGCACAUGUUAAAGUUGCUAAAGCUGAGACAGAGUGAUGGGUGACCAUCGAUUCCUGGAGGGAAAUUAAAUUGUCAUAGAAGCCAGACAUAUUAUUGUUCACAGAGCUGUCACUACCAGGUGCAAACCCAGUAUGCGACUAAACGCUUAUCCAAUCCGAAAAGACAUUUGCAUGGCAGAACACACAGAAUUUCAAUAAACAGAAAUAUGCAAUUUUAGCCUCCCAGAAAAACGGUUGUGACAAAAGUCUCCCGAACAGAUCCACGACUAAAACAGCAACUCAUGCAAAUAGCAUUUGCCAUAAUUGGAUUUGAAUGCCUUCCUGCUGCCAGAUGUUAUAUAUGCUCACAUAAACCCAUAUUUUCCAGCCCACAAACCCUGUGAAAGCAAGUGAGCCACUAGCACGGUGCGGGGAAUGGGAGCUUGGCUACUCAGCCGCUCUGUAAAGCCUUUUUGUUCCGCUUUGGCGAAGGCUUGUGCGGUUUGGGUCGCGGUCGGCCAUGCUCACACUUUGCCGUGGGGACAGCUGGGUAGCGAUGGUGGAUGGGCUUGCUGUGAGGCAGGAGCCCUGAUGAUGUCUGGCUGCGUGAGCACAGCUGGCACUGCAACAUCUGACAGGGUCCUGGGCUGUGGCCUGCGCACGACGGGCCAGCGACUCUGAGGCAGCACUGGAGAACAUGGUGGACACGUUGGAAACGUUCUCCAAACCGACACCAAAGCCAUCUCCCUUAGCACUCCUCCUUCUGCCUCUUUCCCUCCAGAAGAGAUACAUGCUAACUGCAGUAUGGAGUUCAUCGUCCAUGAGCGGACCGUGUGCAAUUAGGGAAUGCUCUAUCCUGGUGCAACUGCAAGAUAACUUCCAAGAUAAAUGGUUAAGGUGUGACCAGGGUGCAGCAGUGGCCCACCUCUGGCUUGAAACAAGCCACCUAACACCUUGUAAAAUAACAGGAAGAGAGUUUGCGUGGCCAACCAGUUCUCCCUGAACCACACCAUCUGGUCCACGAUUCCCUCCAGGGAGGAAAGCAGGGUGGGGUGUAGCUCACGCUGCAUGUGCAUGAUUCGGCUGCAGCGCCACAUUGGGGCUGUGGCCCUGAUGGGCCCUGGGUCGGAGGCUCCUGAGUGCGACUGGGACCCCACUGAAGUGGGCUGCUGUUGUCCAGAUGCAUCUAAGGGGCAAGCAUAUAGAAUGAAAGACAAAUCUAGAGAAUCUGGUCAUUGAUACAUAAAGUGGUGCCUAGACCUGAGUUAAAUUAGUUCCACGACCAUGCUUGUAACUCAUAACCAUCAAUCACAAAUCAUCUCUUCCCAUUGAAAUGAAGGGAAAUUCCAUUUAUCUGCUUCAGCCCCCCAUGAAUCAACAAUUUAUGUAAUGUUUUAAGAAGGAAAAUACCAUUCUACUGUAUUGUACUUCAUAAAAAUACAAUUGUAAUAACAUAACUACAUAGAAGAAUUAAACAGUUUGUGAAUCAUGAACCAUAUAUGCCUGUGAGUAUUGUUGCAUUGUCAGUAUACAUGUGUUGUUGCACUGUUUGUGUGCAAAUAUCAGUUGCUUAAAGGGCUAUAACGCCGUGCCAUUGAUACUAGUUUUGUUAGCUCGUCUACGGUGUUUUGCAUUGUGUGUUAGUAUUGAACUAGCGGACUUUUGGAUGAUAAAUGUGUAAUUUUCUUUAUGUUUAAAUGUAAACUGGGAAUGGUAAUAAACAGCUUACGCAAG